rnacentral:rRNA from 1 species
UACAGAGGGUGCAAGCGUUAAUCGGAUUACUGGGCGUAAAGCGUGCGUAGACGGUUAUUUAAGUCAGGUGUGAAAGCCCCGGGCUCAACCUGGGAAUUGCAUUUGAGACUGAAUAGCUAGGGUGCGGAAGAGGGAAGCGGAAUUUCCGGUGUAGCGGUGAAAUGCGUAGAUAUCGGAAGGAACACCAGUGGCGAAAGCGGCUUCCUGGUCCAGCACCGACGUCAGGCACGAAAGCGUGGGGAGCAAACAGG